GAUGAACGCUGGCGGCGUGCCUAAUACAUGCAAGUCGAGCGAACAGAUGAGGAGCUUGCUCCUCUGACGUUAGCGGCGGACGGGUGAGUAACACGUGGAUAACCUACUAUAAGACUGGGAUAACUUCGGGAAACCGGAGCUAAUACCGGAUAAUAUAUUGAACCGCAUGGUUCAAUAGUGAAAGACGGUUUUGCUGUCACUUAUAGAUGGAUCCGCGCCGCAUUAGCUAGUUGGUAAGGUAACGGCUUACCAAGGCGACGAUGCGUAGCCGACCUGAGAGGGUGAGCGGCCACACUGGAACUGAGACACGGUCCAGACUCCUACGGGAGGCAGCAGUAGGGAAUCUUCCGCAAUGGGCGAAAGCCUGACGGAGCAACGCCGCGUGAGUGAUGAAGGUCUUCGGAUCGUAAAACUCUGUUAUUAGGGAAGAACAAAUGUGUAAGUAACUAUGCACGUCUUGACGGUACCUAAUCAGAAAGCCACGGCUAACUACGUG
rnacentral:rRNA from 1 species